GAUGAAGAACGUAGCGAAAUGCGAUAAGUAAUGCGAAUUGCAGAAUCCGUGAGUCAUCGAAUCUUUGAACGCACAUUGCGCCCUUUGGUAUUCCGAAGGGCAUGUCUGUUCGAGCGUCAUUAUCACCACUCAAGCCCGGCUUGCUGUUGGUGGCAGCGCAGCCGGUCAACCGGCUACGCUCCACCCAAAGAUAAUGACGGCGUCUGCGAGGACUCCUGUACAUUGAGCUUUCGGGCACGUACAUGGCUAGAAGUCCAGGCGCCGGUCGACGUCCUCCGGGACACUUUUUACCAAGGUUGACCUCGGAUCAGGUAGGGAUACCCGCUGAACUUAAGCAUAUCAAUAAGCGGAGGA
rnacentral:misc_RNA from 1 species